AAGGUACACACUUCCUGCGACGGAGAGCGACGACAGCAAGGCUGCACUCCGACAGGGGCGGGUCGCAGCCGGGGAACCAGGCGCUCACGCUUCUUUCAGCUAUGUGUUUUCCAUCCUGAUAUUCGCAGAGCUGACUGCACUGAUCGGUCACCUGGCAGUUAUGAUUCCCGACACAAACGUAAAGCAUCAUCCGGCUUCGUACUGCGGAUGUGUCUUACUGAACCUCACGGCCACGUUCCCAGGAGGGAAAUCCUGGUGUUCCUCAGAUGGGAAUUUUGACCCAUUGCACUUAUCCUUCCCCUGGCAGCACUAACAAGAGCUUCAUGAAGACAAGUGUCCCGUGUCAGUUUAUCUGCAGAUGUGUGUCCACACACCAGCACAGUGCCUGCUACACAGCAGCUGUUCAAUCAUUCUGUUGAAUAAAUUAAUUAAAACACUUAA